ensembl:lncRNA
CUAAAAGGUUGCGUCUCAGGAUCCAGAAAUGUCUAGUCCUCCUUCCUGGCGUUGCCCUCUGGAACACAGAGCAGCUUGUUGAAUUAGGGGUCGUUGUUUGCAGGCAGAGGCACCCGGUCUGGAUGUCGUCGUCUCUAGCAUGUACGAUUUCUUCGAACUUGGGCAUCAAAGAGUGAGCAAGCGACAAGGUCUCUAUCGUCACAUAGCUGGGCGCCUAGGGAAUGGAGCAGACAGAAGGAAGCCGCAUAACAGCACAGAUAGAACGCAGGCUCCAGACCCGCGGGCUUCGGUAGUUGUGGCUCAUGGGCUCCAGAGUGUGGAACCUUAGUUGUGGUGCAUGGACUUGUUUACCAGUGGCACGUGGAAUCUUCACAGAUUAAGGACUGAACCCAUGUCCCCUGCAUUGGCAGGAAAAUUCUUAACCAAUGGACCGCCAGGGAAGUACUUUUUUCAAUUUUUUCAUCUUUCUUAUUCAAAUAGAGUAACUUCUAUUAAUCCAUUUUAAAAUUCACUUUU